rnacentral:rRNA from 1 species
UACGGAGGGGACUAGCGUUGUUCGGAAUUACUGGGCGUAAAGCGCACGUAGGCGGAUUUGUAAGUCAGGGGUGAAAUCCCGGGGCUCAACCUCGGAACUGCCUUUGAUACUGCAAAUCUCGAGUCCGGAAGAGGUGAGUGGAAUUCCCUAGUGUAGAGGUGAAAUUCGUAGAUAUUGGAAGAACACCAGUGGCGAAGGCGGCUCACUGGUCCGGUACUGACGCUGAGGUGCGAAAGCGUGGGGAGCGAACAGG